rnacentral:misc_RNA from 1 species
UCCGGCUUGGUGUUGGGCCUGGCUUUUCAGUAAACCGGCCUCAAAGAUAGUGACGGCGUCCCAGAUGGAACCGGUACGAGGAGCUUCUAAUCAAGCAUGUACGCGGCGUGAAUUUGUGGGCGGCGGUCUUUUAACCACUACUCCUCGGAGUACUUUCAAGUGUUGACCUCGGAUUAGGUAGGAAUACCCGCUGAACUUAA